GGACCUUUAGCUCAGUUGGUUAGAGCGCCCGGCUCAUAACCGGGUGGUCCUGGGUUCGAGUCCCCGAAGGUCCA
rnacentral:tRNA from 1 species